GAUGAACGCUGGCGGCGUGCCUAAUACAUGCAGGUCGAGCGAACAGACGAGGAGCUUGCUCCUCUGACGUUAGCGGCGGACGGGUGAGUAACACAUGGAUAACCUACCUAUAAGACUGGGAUAACUUCGGGAAACCGGAGCUAAUACCGGAUAAUAUAUUGAACCGCAUGGUUCAAUAGUGAAAGACGGUUUUGCUGUCACUUAUAGAUGGAUCCGCGCCGCAUUAGCUAGUUGGUAAGGUAACGGCUUACCAAGGCAACGAUGCGUAGCCGACCUGAGAGGGUGAUCGGCCACACUGGAACUGAGACACGGUCCAGACUCCUACGGGAGGCAGCAGUAGGGAAUCUUCCGCAAUGGGCGAAAGCCUGACGGAGCAACGCCGCGUGAGUGAUGAAGGUCUUCGGAUCGUAAAACUCUGUUAUUAGGGAAGAACAAAUGUGUAAGUAACUAUGCACGUCUUGACGGUACCUAAUCAGAAAGCCACGGCUAACUACGUG
rnacentral:rRNA from 1 species